CAGUCGCCGCGGUAAUACGUAGGGUGCAAGCGUUAAUCGGAAUUACUGGGCGUAAAGCGUGCGCAGGCGGUUUUGUAAGUCUGUCGUGAAAUCCCCGGGCUCAACCUGGGAAUGGCGAUGGAGACUGCAAGGCUAGAAUCUGGCAGAGGGGGGUAGAAUUCCACGUGUAGCAGUGAAAUGCGUAGAUAUGUGGAGGAACACCGAUGGCGAAGGCAGCCCCCUGGGCUAAGAUUGACGCUCAUGCACGAAAGCGUGGGGAGCAAACAGGAUUAGAUACCCGGGUAGUCCCUGUCUCUUAUAC
rnacentral:rRNA from 1 species